rnacentral:lncRNA from 1 species
UUGUCCUGUGUGCAUCCAAAACAAUUCCUACACUUAUCUCAAGUUUCCAGCAUCCACAACAUAUCUAUAAGGUAACCAUUCAUUCUCUAAGAUCACUAGUAAACAUCAUCAUCUCUAAUUAAAUCAUUCCUAAUCUCAAAUACAAAUCAAGAAGACAGAAAAAUAUAUUACUAAUACCUUCGCUCGAUUCCUCUCUCUUCACUUUUUAAACCUCUGGUGAAAGCGUCUCUGUGGAUAAUCAUCGGCGGAAUUCGCAGAGACUAUUUCAAUUUCUGUCGUAGUCUUUGGUGAAAUCGAUUUAGAAGGAAGAAGAAAAAAAACAGAGGAUCUCGAUAGAUGAAACCAAACGAUGAUAUGAUAAAUCUUACCGUUACGGAUCAUUACCGUUUCGAGAAGAGAACAGAGAACCGAACUAAACUGCAUCAUUAGUAGGAUCUUGAACAAAAUUUAUGGAUUUACUUUUGGUUUUAGGGUUUAGAAGAAGAAGAAGAAGAAGAAGAGAGAGUUUUGUAUUAUCACAACGAUGAAUGAAUGAAGAAGAAAUUAAGGAUUAGGAAGUUAAAAAGAAAAACGAAAUUGAUAUCAAAAAAAAAAAUUACCAAAAAAAAUUGAUAUUAAUUUUACAACGGUCAGAUUUAAGAGAUUUCAA